rnacentral:tRNA from 1 species
UCCACUGCUCAAAUGGUAAAGCACAAAGCUCUUAACCUUGUGGACGUGGGUUCAAAGCCCCAUGGUGGAG